AUUGAACGCUGGCGGCAGGCCUAACACAUGCAAGUCGAACGGUAGCACAGAGGAGCUUGCUCCUCGGGUGACGAGUGGCGGACGGGUGAGUAAUGUCUGGGGAUCUGCCCGAUAGAGGGGGAUAACCACUGGAAACGGUGGCUAAUACCGCAUAACGUCGCAAGACCAAAGAGGGGGACCUUCGGGCCUCUCACUAUCGGAUGAACCCAGAUGGGAUUAGCUAGUAGGCGGGGUAACAGCCCACCUAGGCGACGAUCCCUAGCUGGUCUGAGAGGAUGACCGGCCACACUGGAACUGAGACACGGUCCAGACUCCUACGGGAGGCAGCAGUGGGGAAUAUUGCACAAUGGGCGCAAGCCUGAUGCAGCCAUGCCGCGUGUAUGAAGAAGGCCUUCGGGUUGUAAAGUACUUUCAGCGGGGAGGAAGGCGAUGUGGUUAAUAACCGCGUCGAUUGACGUUACCCGCAGAAGAAGCACCGGCUAACUCCGUGCCAGCAGCAGCCGCGG
rnacentral:rRNA from 1 species